UGAGCAAUCUGCCCUUCUCUUUGAAAUAAGCGUUGGAAACGACGUCUAAUGCCGAAUUCGACCUCCUUUCGCAUGAUCGGAGGUGGAAAGCUCCGGCGGAGAAGGAUGAGCUCGCGGCCUAUCAGCUAGUUGGUGAGGUAAUAGCUCACCAAGGCAACGACGGGUAGCCGGCCUGAGAGGGUGACCGGCCACACUGGGACUGAGACACGGCCCAGACCUCCGUACGGGAGCAG
rnacentral:rRNA from 1 species